AUGUUCAUCUGUCCAUCCCCCAGCCCUGUGUCCAUCUGUCCAUCCCUCGGUCCCUCCGUGUCCCUCCAUGUUCAUCUGUCCAUCCCCCAGCCCUGUGUCCAUCUGUCCAUCCCUCGGUCCCUCCGUGUCCCCCAGUGUCCCUCUGUCCAUCCCCCAGCCCUCUGUCCAUCUGUCCAUCCCUCAGUCCCUCCAUGUCCCCCAGUGUCCCUCUGUCCAUCCCCCAGCCCUGUGUCCAUCUGUCCAUCCCUCGGUCCCUCCGUGUCCCCCCAUGUCCGUCUCCCCCCCAUGUCCCCGUGCCCAUCCCCCUGUCCAUCCGUCCACCCCGUGUCCCUGUGUCCAUCCUGUGUCUGUCCAUCUGUCCGUUCCCAUGUCUGUCCAUGUGUCCAUCCAUGUGUCCAUCCCCAUGUCCGUGUGUCCAUGCCCAUGUCCAUGUGUCCGUCCCCGUGUCCAUACCCAUGUCCACACCUGUGUCCAUCCCCAUGUCCCCAUGUCCAUCUCCAUGUCUGUGUGUCCAUCCCCGUGUCCAUCCCCGUGUCCAUCCCCAUGUCCAUCCCCGUGUCCAUGUCCAUGUCCGUGUCCAUCCCCGUGUCCGUGCGUCCAUCCCCGUGUCCAUGCGUCCAUCCAUGUGUCCAUCCCCGUGUCCCCAUGUCCAUCCCUAUGUCUGUGUGUCCAUCCCCGUGUCCAUCCCGUGUCCAUGUCCAUGUCCGUGUCCAUCCCCGUGUCCAUCUGUCCAUCCCCGUGUCUGUGUGUCCAUCCCCGUGUCCAUCCCCGUGUCCAUCCCCAUGUCCAUGCCUGUGUCCAUGCCCGUGUCCGUGUGUCCAUCCCCGUGUCUGUGUGUCCAUCCCCAUGUCCAUCCCGUGUCCGUAUGUCCAUCCCCGUGUCCAUCUGUCCAUCCCCGUGUCCGUGUGUCCAUCCCCAUGUCCAUCCCUGUGUCCGUGUGUCCAUCCCCGUGUCCAUCCCCGUGUCCAUCCCCGUGUCCAUCAGCGUGUCCAUCCCCGUGUCCAUCCCCGUGUCCAUCCCGUGUCCGUGUGUCCAUCCCCGUGUCCAUCCCCGUGUCCAUCCCCGUGUCCGUGUGUCCAUCCCGUGUCCGUGUGUCCAUCCCCGUGUCCAUCCCCGUGUCCAUCCCGUGUCCGUGUGUCCAUCCCGUGUCCGUGUGUCCAUCCCGUGUCCGUCCCGUGUCCGUGUGUCCAUCCCCGUGUCCAUCCCCGUGUCCAUCCCCAUGUCCAUCCCGUGUCCGUGUGUCCAUCCCCAUGUCCAUCCCCGUGUCCAUCCCGUGUCCAUCCCCGUGUCCAUCCCGUGUCCGUGUGUCCAUCCCCGUGUCCAUCCCCGUGUCCAUCCCCGUGUCCGUGUGUCUAUCCCCGUGUCCAUCCCCGUCUCCAUCCCUGUGUCCAUCCCCGUGUCCAUCCCCGUGUCCGUGUGUCCAUCCCCAUGUCCAUCCCCAUGUCCAUCCCCGUGUCCAUCCCCGUGUCCAUCCCGUGUCCGUGUGUCCAUCCCCGUGUCCAUCCCCGUGUCCAUCCCCGUGUCCGUGUGUCCAUCCCGUGUCCGUGUGUCCAUCCCCGUGUCCAUCCCCGUGUCCAUCCCGUGUCCGUGUGUCCAUCCCCGUGUCCAUCCCCGUGUCCAUCCCCAUGUCCAUCCCCGUCUCCAUCCCCGUGUCCAUCCCCGUGUCCAUCCCCGUGUCCAUCCCUGUGUCCAUCCCGUGUCCGUGUGUCCAUCCCGUGUCCGUGUGUCCAUCCCCGUGUCCAUCCCCGUCUCCAUCCCCGUCUCCAUCCCCGUGUCCAUCCCCAUGUCCAUCCCCGUGUCCAUCCCCGUGUCCGUGUGUCCAUCCCCGUGUCCAUCCCCGUGUCCAUCCCCGUGUCCAUCCCCGUGUCCGUGUGUCCAUCCCCGUGUCCAUCCCCGUGUCCAUCCCCGUGUCCGUGUGUCCAUCCCUGUGUCCAUCCCCGUGUCCAUCCCCGUGUCCGUGUGUCCAUCCUGUGUCCGAGUGUCCAUCCCCGUGUCCAUCCCCGUGUCCAUCCCCGUCUCCAUCCCCGUGUCCAUCCCCGUGUCCAUCCCCGUGUCCAUCCCCGUGUCCGUGUGUCCAUCCCGUGUCCGUGUGUCCAUCCCCGUGUCCAUCCCGUGUCCGUGUGUCCAUCCCCGUGUCCAUCCCCGUGUCCGUGUGUCCAUCCCGUGUCCGUGUGUCCAUCCCCGUGUCCAUCCCCGUGUCCCGGGUGCCGCUGCCCCUCCCCCGCAGGGUCUGGGGUCUCUGGGGGGUCUCGGGGUCCCCCCGGGCUCGGGGGGGGCCGGAGCCGUUUAAUCUCUUUUCUCUUUGUCUCCUCUCUCGCCCCUCCCCCCCUCCCCCCUCCCCCCCCCGCCCGUGUGACCCCUCCCCGCCCCCCCGCCCCCCCGCCCCCCUCCCGCCCCCCCCGCCCCCCCAGCCGCCCCUCCCCCCGCUCUCUCCCGCCUUUUCUUCCGGUGCUAAAAAGUAGAAGUGGAACAAAAAGGUAA
ensembl:lncRNA